UACGUAGGGUGCAAGCGUUAAUCGGAAUUACUUGGCGUAAAGCGUGCGCAGGCGGUUGUGUAAGACAGAUGUGAAAUCCCCGGGCUCAACCUGGGAACUGCAUUUGUGACUGCACAGCUGGAGUGCGGCAGAGGGGGAUGGAAUUCCGCGUGUAGCAGUGAAAUGCGUAGAUAUGCGGAGGAACACCGAUGGCGAAGGCAAUCCCCUGGGCCUGCACUGACGCUCAUGCACGAAAGCGUGGGGAGCAAACAGG
rnacentral:rRNA from 1 species